AUACUCACUUUGGCAGCAUAUAUAAUAAAAUUGGAAUGAUACAGAGAAGAUUAGCAUGGCCCCUUCAUAAGGAUGAAGCACAAAAUAGUGAAGCAUUCCAUAUUUUU